rnacentral:rRNA from 1 species
UACGAGUGCCCCGAGCGUUAUCCGGAAUCAUUGGGCGUAAAGGGUGUGUAGGUGGUUCUGUUAGUCUUCAGUUAAAUUCUUCGGCUUAACCGCCGGAGGCCAUCCCAAACUGCCGCGCUGGAGUCGGGCAGAGGGUGCCGGAAUUGCCGGUGUAGUGGUGAAAUGCGUAGAGAUCGGCAGGAAGACCAAGGGGGAAGCCAGGCACCUGGGCCCGUACUGACACUCAUGGACGACCGCGUGGGGAGCGAACCGG